GACGAACGCUGGCGGCGUGCUUAACACAUGCCAGUCGAACGCUGAAGCCCUGGCUUUUGUUGGGUUGGAUGAGUGGCGAACGGGUGAGUAACACGUGAGUAACCUGCCCUCUUCUUUGGGAUAACGCCCGGAAACGGGUGCUAAUACUGGAUAUUCACUGGCCUUCGCAUGGGGGUUGGUGGAAAGGUUUGUUCUGGUGGGGGAUGGGCUCGCGGCCUAUCAGCUUGUUGGUGGGGUGAUGGCCUACCAAGGCUUUGACGGGUAGCCGGCCUGAGAGGGUGACCGGUCACAUUGGGACUGAGAUACGGCCCAGACUCCUACGGGAGGCAGCAGUGGGGAAUAUUGCACAAUGGGCGAAAGCCUGAUGCAGCGACGCCGCGUGAGGGAUGGAGGCCUUCGGGUUGUAAACCUCUUUCGCUCAUGGUCAAGCCGCAACUGUGGGUUGUGGUGAGGGUAGUGGGUAAAGAAGCGCCGGCUAACUACGUG
rnacentral:rRNA from 1 species